AGAGAUUUGUCCGCUCUUGUAGAGAGCAGUAUCAUAAGGCAUUUAACUGCGUCACGGCUGAUAUGAAUAGCAGGCUGUGGACUGAGGAACAAUGGAUCAGUGCCAUGACCGAAGGAUCACAGCAGUCUGUAAUAGAACUAUGGUAUGUGUCUAUAAACCAGGCUGUUCCACUAUAAACCAGUCUGUUCCACUAUAAACAAGUCUGUUCCACUAUAAACCAGGUUGUUCCUCUAUAAACCAGGCUGUUCCUCUAUAAACCAGGCUGUUCCUCUAUAAACCAGGCUGUUCUAAAUGUGUCUGUUCCACUAUAAACCAGGCUGUUCCUCUAUAAACCAGGCUGUUCCACUAUAAACCAGGCUGUUCCACUAUAAACCAGGCUGUUCUAAAUGUGUGUUCCUCUAUAAACCAGACUGUUCUAAAUGUGUCUGUUCCUCUAUAAACCAGGCUGUUCUAAAUGUGUCUGUUCCUCUAUAAACCAGGCUGUUCCUCUAUAAACCAGGCUGUUCUAAAUGUGUCUGUUCCUCUAUAAACCAGGCUGUUCCAAAUGUGUCUGUUCCUCUAUAAACCAGACUGUUCUAAAUGUGUCUGUUCCACUAUAAACCAGGCUGUUCAUCUAUAAACCAGGCUGUUCCACUAUAAACCAGGCUGUUCCACUAUAAACCAGGCUGUUCUAAAUGUGUGUUCCUCUAUAAACCAGACUGUUCUAAAUGUGUCUGUUCCUCUAUAAACCAGGCUGUUCUAAAUGUGUCUGUUCCUCUAUAAAUCCGGCUGUUCCUCUAUAAACCAGACUGUUCUAAAUGUGUCUGUUCCUCUAUAAACCAAACUGUUCCUCUAUAAACCAGGCUGUUCCUCUAUAAACCAGGCUGUUCCUCUAUAAACCAGGCUGUUCUUCUAUAAACCAGUCUGUUCUAAAUGUGUCUGUUCCUCUAUAAACCAGACUGUUCUAAAUGUGUCUGUUCCUCUAUAAACCAGGCUGUUCCACUAUAAACCAGGCUGUUCCUCUAUAAACCAGGCUGUUCCUCUAUAAACCAGGCUGUUCCUCUAUAAACCAGGCUGUUCCACUAUAAACCAGGCUGUUCCUCUAUAAACCAGGCUGUUCUAAAUGUGUGUUCCUCUAUAAACCAGGCUGUUCUAAAUGUGUCUGUUCCUCUAUAAACCAGGCUGUUCCAAAUGUGUCUGUUCCUCUAUAAACCAGACUGUUCUAAAUGUGUCUGUUCCUCUAUAAACCAGGCUGUUAUUAAAUGUGUCUGUUCCUCUAUAAACCAGGCUGUUCUAAAUGUGUCUGUUCCUCUAUAAACCAGGCUGUUAUUAAAUGUGUCUGUUCCUCUAUAAACCAGACUGUUCUAAAUGUGUCUGUGCCUCUAUAAACCAGGCUGUACCUCUAUAAACCAGACUGUUCUAAAUGUGUCUGUUCCUCUAUAAACCAGGCUGUUCCUCUAUAAACCAGGCUGUUCUAAAUGUGUCGGUUCCUCUAUAAACCAGGCUGUUCCUC
rnacentral:lncRNA from 1 species